AUUGAACGCUGGCGGCAGGCCUAACACAUGCCAGUCGAGCGGAUGAAGGGAGCUUGCUCCUGGAUUCAGCGGCGGACGGGUGAGUAAUGCCUAGGAAUCUGCCUGGUAGUGGGGGAUAACGUCCGGAAACGGGCGCUAAUACCGCAUACGUCCUGAGGGAGAAAGUGGGGGAUCUUCGGACCUCACGCUAUCAGAUGAGCCUAGGUCGGAUUAGCUAGUUGGUGGGGUAAAGGCCUACCAAGGCGACGAUCCGUAACUGGUCUGAGAGGAUGAUCAGUCACACUGGAACUGAGACACGGUCCAGACUCCUACGGGAGGCAGCAGUGGGGAAUAUUGGACAAUGGGCGAAAGCCUGAUCCAGCCAUGCCGCGUGUGUGAAGAAGGUCUUCGGACUGUAAAGCACUUUAAGUUGGGAGGAAGGGCAGUAAGUUAAUACCUUGCUGUUUUGACGUUACCAACAGAAUAAGCACCGGCUAACUUCGUG
rnacentral:rRNA from 1 species